CUCCAUGUUCCAGGAAUUUUAUUAUCAGUCUCAGCCUUGCUGUUCUGGGCAGGAAGAAAUGAAAGAAGAAGAAAGGAAGCCACGUCUCCUGAACACUGCCCGUGUGCCCAGCACAGUGACUGCUGUUGUGUAGUCAGCAUCUCUUCGGGGAGGACAGGUGAGUCUCCGAGAAGACAUAUCCAAUCAGCCGAGCAGCAAUUCAAUCAUUGAUCUUUAAAAAACUAGCCCCCAAAACAUAAUGUCAAGCAGUGGAAAUGGCUAUAUUGAUCAGGAUAUACCCAAAUGCCAAGGGUAGUGCUCAGGGUCCCCCAGUAUGACUGGCCUCUGCACAGUCAAACGCUUGGAUACAAGGCAGGCAGUGUGCACAGAAGAAACCAAGAGCCUUGGCGAUGAUUUGGGUUGCAUACUCUGUCCCCUCUUUUCAUGCACAGUUUUACUUUCUACUUAAAGUAAAACAUCCCAAGAAGCUCCCUCACUGCUUUUUCUGCCGCCUGUUAUCCGCCAUGGCUUGAGACUCCACUUUUGCAAUGUCACAGUCUACCAACUAAACACCACACCUGGGGUCCCCACGUGCAUGUCAGCUCCGCAAGAAGCUUCAUCCUGACAUUGACCCUCCCACCCAUCGGUGCAUCUGCCGAGUGUGUCACCAGCAAGAUCGAUCCCAAGCUGCUCAGCACCGUUAGAAACCAAGACUAAUAAAUCAUUUGCCCGCUCUCAGCCCACAGAUGCAUGAACGGGCUGGCUGAUGCUUCUGUCCUUCCACCAUUUCAAAAAGAGAACAUCUCUUAAGAGACUGCAAGUGUCCUCGUGCAGGUGAGAGAUAAAAGACAAACCCUCCUCUCAAAUUCCCUCAAAACAUUCAUCUGCUGCAGAAGGAGAGUUUCUGGAUGUCAUUCGG
rnacentral:lncRNA from 10 species